CCUACGGGGUGCAGCAGUGGGGAAUAUUGCACAAUGGGGGAAACCCUGAUGCAGCGACGCCGCGUGAGUGAGGAAGUAUUUCGGUAUGUAAAGCUCUAUCAGCAGGGAAGAAAAUGACGGUACCUGACUAAGAAGCCCCGGCUAACUACGUGCCAGCAGCCGCGGUAAUACGUAGGGGGCAAGCGUUAUCCGGAUUUACUGGGUGUAAAGGGAGCGUAGACGGAAUAGCAAGUCUGAUGUGAAAACCCGGGGCUCAACUCCGGGAGUGCAUUGGAAACUGUUGAUCUUGAGUGAAGUAGAGGCAGGCGGAAUUCCUAGUGUAGCGGUGAAAUGCGUAGAUAUUAGGAGGAACACCAGUGGCGAAGGCGGCCUGCUGGGCUUUUACUGACGCUGAGGCUCGAAAGUGUGGGGAGCAAACAGGAUUAGAUACCCUUGUAGUC
rnacentral:rRNA from 1 species